UACGAAGGGGGCUAGCGUUGCUCGGAAUCACUGGGCGUAAAGCGCACGUAGGCGGACUCUUAAGUCGGUGGUGAAAUCCUGGAGCUCAACUCCAGAACUGCCUUCGAUACUGGGAGUCUUGAGUUCGGGAGAGGUGAGUGGAACUGCGAGUGUAGAGGUGAAAUUCGUAGAUAUUCGCAAGAACACCAGUGGCGAAGGCGGCUCACUGGCCCGAUACUGACGCUGAGGUGCGAAAGCGUGGGGAGCAAACAGGG
rnacentral:rRNA from 1 species